UGGGGAAUUUUGGACAAUGGGCGCAAGCCUGAUCCAGCCAUGCCGCGUGCGGGAAGAAGGCCUUCGGGUUGUAAACCGCUUUUGUCGUGGAAGAAAAGCCUUGGGUUAAUACCCUGGGGUGAUGACGGUACCCGAAGAAUAAGCACCGGCUAACUACGUGCCAGCAGCCGCGGUAAUACGUAGGGUGCAAGCGUUAAUCGGAAUUACUGGGCGUAAAGCGUGCGCAGGCGGUUGUGUAAGACAGGUGUGAAAUCCCCGGGCUCAGCCUGGGAACUGCAUUUGUGACUGCACGGCUGGAGUGCGGCAGAGGGGGAUGGAAUUCCGCGUGUAGCAGUGAAAUGCGUAGAUAUGCGGAGGAACACCGAUGGCGAAGGCAAUCCCCUGGGCCUGCACUGACGCUCAUGCACGAAAGCGUGGGGAGCAAACA
rnacentral:rRNA from 1 species